AGAAAUUUAGGUUACAUAAAACCAAGAGCCUUCAAAGCCCUAAACAAGGAACAACUCCUUAAUUUCUG
rnacentral:tRNA from 2 species